rnacentral:rRNA from 1 species
GUCGAACGAUGAUGCCCAGCUUGCUGGGUGGAUUAGUGGCGAACGGGUGAGUAACACGUGAGUAACCUGCCCUUGACUUCGGGAUAACUCCGGGAAACCGGGGCUAAUACCGGAUAUGAGCCGUCCUCGCAUGGGGGUGGUUGGAAAGUUUUUCGGUCAGGGAUGGGCUCGCGGCCUAUCAGCUUGUUGGUGGGGUGAUGGCCUACCAAGGCGACGACGGGUAGCCGGCCUGAGAGGGCGACCGGCCACACUGGGACUGAGACACGGCCCAGACUCCUACGGGAGGCAGCAGUGGGGAAUAUUGCACAAUGGGCGAAAGCCUGAUGCAGCGACGCCGCGUGAGGGAUGAAGGCCUUCGGGUUGUAAACCUCUUUCAGCAGGGAAGAAGCGCAAGUGACGGUACCUGCAGAAGAAGCGCCGGCUAACUACGUGCCAGCAGCCGCGGUAAUACGUAGGGCGCAAGCGUUGUCCGGAAUUAUUGGGCGUAAAGAGCUCGUAGGCGGUUUGUCGCGUCUGGUGUGAAAACUCGAGGCUCAACUUCGAGCUUGCAUCGGGUACGGGCAGACUAGAGUGCGGUAGGGGAGACUGGAAUUCCUGGUGUAGCGGUGGAAUGCGCAGAUAUCAGGAGGAACACCGAUGGCGAAGGCAGGUCUCUGGGCCGCAACUGACGCUGAGGAGCGAAAGCAUGGGGAGCGAACAGGAUUAGAUACCCUGGUAGUCCAUGCCGUAAACGUUGGGCACUAGGUGUGGGGCUCAUUCCACGAGUUCCGUGCCGCAGCAAACGCAUUAAGUGCCCCGCCUGGGGAGUACGGCCGCAAGGCUAAAACUCAAAGGAAUUGACGGGGGCCCGCACAAGCGGCGGAGCAUGCGGAUUAAUUCGAUGCAACGCGAAGAACCUUACCAAGGCUUGACAUGCACGAGAAGC